AAACUCAGUUUUCAAUUUUAAUAAAAAGAAUGGAUACGCUAAAAUUUUGUCUUAUAAUAAAAAAAACAAAGUGGAAGGUAACAAAAAUAUAAAAAUUAUCAAAACACAAAUGCAGUAUGUUUUUAGCGCAAAAAUGAAAGAUUUAAUUGAGAUGCAAAAUGUUGUAAAAGAAAAAAUUAUAGGCACGACAAACAACUUAAGUAAUUAUGUGGACAAAGUAUUUGGUGAAUACCAUAAGAGUAUACAAAUGGAAAAUUACAAUGACGCAUCUGUUAUAUUACAAAAGAAUAGUGAAACAUGCGUAAAAAAAAAGGAAAAAAAAACUGAAAGGAUUUGUUCAAAAGAAAACAACACCAAAUACUUCAAACAAGACAAACAUACAUAUUCAAACUCACGUCCUGAACAAAACAGAAGUACAUGCUCCACUUCUCCUAGUAUAACAGCUCCUAAUAAUACUAGCUAUUUAAAAAAAAAAAAAAAAAAUAAAGUAAAAACAGAAAAACUGACAGAUGUUAUUCCCAUAACAAAACAUAACAAGAAUAAUAAAAAAAAUAUUUCAAAUAAACAUUUUUUAUUAUCUAAUAAAGACAAUGUAACUGACAUUGUAAAAAAUAUACACAUGCCUUUAGGAGAAAAAAAAAAUAUAUAUUUGAAAAUGGGCAACGGAACAGAAAAUAACGUAGAGCAUAAAAAAAUAGAAAGAAAUAAAAGAAAAAACAAAAAGGUCAGAAAAAAAAAUAAUAAAGAUUUAAUUUAUUAUGAAGUUGGAAAAGAUUAUCUGCAACAAACAGAACUUAUAAAAAUGACAAGUGAAUACAACGAAUCAUAUGAUAUUCUUUAUAGUAUGUAUUCUUCACUAUUGUCAAAAACAUACAUACCUUAAUUAACACAUAUAUUUUUUUUUUCUUUUUUACUAAAAACAAAAAAGCAAAAAAAAAGAAAAAACUCAGCAGAUUUUAAUGCACUCUUAUUUUUCUCCCCACUUGUUUUUGUACUCGCUCAUUUGUUCACUCUCAUUUACUAUUUUUUUUUUUCAAUUUUUGUUAUAACUUUUUUUUUUUUUUUUCUUUAAGCAAUGUCAAUAAUAAUUAUUUUAAAAGUUGUGCAUAGAUAAAGAACUAUAAUUAUUGAACUAAAUGGGAUAAAAAA
rnacentral:lncRNA from 1 species